UACGGAGGAUGCAAGCGUUAUCCGGAUUUAUUGGGUUUAAAGGGUGCGUAGGCGGAUUAAUAAGUCAGUGGUGAAAACCUGCAGCUUAACUGUAGAACUGCCAUUGAUACUGUUAGUCUUGAGUAUGGUCAAGGUAGGCGGAAUGUGUAAUGUAGCGGUGAAAUGCUUAGAUAUUACACAGAACACCGAUUGCGAAGGCAGCUUACUGGACCAUUACUGACGCUGAGGCACGAAAGCGUGGGGAGCGAACAGG
rnacentral:rRNA from 1 species